UGAUCCCUUCCUGAACUCAGAAGUGAAACCUCUUAGCGCUGAUGGUAGUGUGGGGUUACCCAUGUGAGAGUAAGUCAUCGCCAGCU
rnacentral:rRNA from 1 species